GCAAGUCGAACGGUAACAGCAAGAGCUUGCUCUUGGCUGACGAGUGGCGGACGGGUGAGUAACGCGUAAGAAUCUGCCUAGUAGUGGGGGACAACUCGGAGAAAUCCGAGCUAAUACCGCAUACGCCCUACGGGGGAAAGUGGGGGACCUUCGGGCCUCACGCUAUUAGAUGAGCUUGCGUUAGAUUAGCUAGUUGGUGAGGUAAUGGCUCACCAAGGCAACGAUCUAUAGCUGGUUUGAGAGAACGAUCAGCCACACUGGGACUGAGACACGGCCCAGACUCCUACGGGAGGCAGCAGUGGGGAAUAUUGGACAAUGGGCGAAAGCCUGAUCCAGCAAUACCGCGUGUGUGAAGAAGGCCUGAGGGUUGUAAAGCACUUUCAAUUGUGAAGAAAAGCUUGGGGUUAAUAACCUCGAGUCUUGACGUUAACUUUAGAA
rnacentral:rRNA from 1 species